GGGAGAGAGACGGAAAGGGGAACGGGAGGGUUGACGUGUUGGAGGGCGAGGAUCGCCGGGAAUUUUGGCUCGGGGGCUGUUGGGUGUGCCGGUAGGUGGUGCAUCCAUCAGAGGGUCGUUGAGGGAGGAGAGGAGGGGGACAGAGGGACUGACAGGUUGGAGAGAGAUGGGAGUUAGGGGUUUCGACUGGGCGGGAGAGAGAUUUAGGGAUUUUGUUGAAUUUUUUAGACAAUGAUGGAGAGUGUGAGAUAGAGAGGGCAGAGAGCAUGCCCUGCGUUUUUUGGGGUUAACGGGUUACCCCACGGGGUUGGUGAGCAGAGGAUGUCUGAGGGAGGUAUGGGAGAGAGAACCAACUCUGAUUCAACAGGUUUGACAUAUGGGUGGAUUUGGCAUUGCUCAUGCUGCUGCUAGGUGUCGUCUGCUUCUUCUGCUUCAUUGGUUUUGUUCUUCUGCACUCCCUUGGCCCCUGGGAUUUUUGUGCUUCACUACUGCCCUGCUCCGGGAUCUUCAAUUUUGAAUGGUUGUCGGUCCCAGCCGGCUAGAGCUUCAAUUUUGUGUUUCUGCACUCUCCCGGGGAUUUCUUCACUGCCCUGCUACUGGGAUCUUCAAUUUUUGAAUAGUUGUGGAUCCCAGCCUGCUAUCUGCAGAGCUUCUAUUUUCCCUUAACAACUUCGUCGGUAGCAAUGCGCCUCCCUCAAACUGCUAUAGUGGCAUUUGUUUAACUUUUACUUGAAGGAUUGAGCAAUGGGUUACGCGUCGAAUGUUUAUGCAGCCAACAUUCCGGUGUCUGAGAUUGGCGUGCAAAUUACUGGUAAUUUGGAUUGGUGUCUGAGAUUUAGAGAAUGGCUCGCAUCUUUAAUUUCCUUUUCCUUCAUUAUUACUGUUUUCAAAAUUUUUACUGCUGGGUAUUGAUUAUUUGUGGUCUGUGAGGGUUCAGUCUGUUGGAAUUUUGAAUGGUUAUUGCUUCAUCGGAAUUUGGGUGGUCCAAAUUUUGAAUUAGAGAAAACCCAUUUGAUUAAUAUUUUAGGUGGAUUGGCUCUCUGUGUUUUGUCUAUUAUUUCUUUCCCAGUUGGAAAGUGGAAGCCCCAACUUUGAGCUCAGAGCUUGAAUUUCUCAAUCAUUCGUUUCUCUGCACUCUCAUCAGUCACUCUUUAUCCUCUCUCUGAGAAACUAGCUUAAUUGUCAACCUGUUUUGAGGUAGCCACGUGAACCAUUGCAGGAAACGUGCUGCCGACUCGGGAUUUAACAUUGCAGGUUUCAUUGACUUCCUAUCCUGUGCUUACUUAUUUUUUAUUAUCUGAUUCUAAACUUUUAACAGCAUAAAGCUUAUGAAAAUUCAAAUGUAUUUGACCACGAUAUAAUUUUAGAGGAUUUAAAAAGUGAAAAUUUUUGGUGGAUGUAGAAGAAUGUUUUAAGUCUUAACAUAUUUUAAUGUGGACUAUCCUUUUAUUUGGGUCAAUUUACAUUGUCGAUCAUUGAUAAUAUUAAUGUUGCAAUCCUUGAUUCCCAAUGAAGAAUGGCUGUUUUGUAUCAAUCAUUAUUGGAAGGAAAAGAGAGGCAAGAGAAACAUUAGCUGUGUAAUAGUUUUACUAAACAAACAGAAUUAUAUCACACAUUUGGUAUCCUAUAGCUCAUCACAGUAAUCAUAGUUGGUCAGUUUAAUUAUUAGCAGCUGAUAAGUGUUUGUAAAGAAGUGUAGCCAUGGGAAUUUAAACAAAUUCAAAUUUAUAGAUUUGAAUGGGUCAAGGUUGAUGUGGUAAGGAAUUUAUGGACAGUUGGACAAACAAACACACACACACACACACACAUAUAUAUAUAUAUAUUAGUCCACCCUAUACAUAUUCUUUUGUCAAGCAUUUCCAAAGUUUCACUAGCUUAGAUACUGAUUGUUUUUCAGAAAUCUAACAUGCAAAAUUUCUAUGCAUGUUUUAAAAUUGGUUGUAGGAAGUAGGCUUCUAAGUGGACAUUAUGUGUGAAGGUUGUUUCAAUCAGAUAUGUAAUCGAAAUUUGCAUCAUUGGGGAGUCUGGUGUCUGUCAAUGUUUAAUGGGCUUCUAGCUUUAAAACCCCACAAUUAGCAAGCAAGGCGAGGCUUAAAUUGUGGUCAUGUGGUUGGUUAUUGAUUUUUUUCUCAUGACAAUUCCAAUGUUUCUUUACGUAGAGCUCAUGAUUGUAUAUCAUGGGUUUCCAAUAAUAAAAAAAGCUUAACACACACGAUAAGAUUGCUUCCACGUUGUUAAGGUGUUUUCUUUUCUCAAUAGCAAUGAACCAUUCAGCCUACAUUUAUUUAUUUGAGAAAACUUUAGAUUGUCUUUGAAAUUUUUACUCUAGCAUCUCUUCAAGAAUAAAAGAACAAUUACCAAAUUAAAAUCCCUAUAGACAUUGCUUAUAUCUUCAUCUCUGUAAGGCCCUAAUCCAGAAUUCCCAGGGAUGCAAAAGAUUCCACAUCUGUUUGGUCAUUUUGCUAAAUUUCAUUAGAUUUGGCCCUCAAUUUGAAAAAGCUUUCAUCUUGCUGUAAAUUUAAAGUCUUUUCUAUCUGUGUUGGUCCAUCUCAUUAUAUUUGAAAGUCUCAGAAUUGCUAAUGGAUUUAUUGUGUUUGGGAAUUUCAGGAUUUUGGAUUUUGGUUGGUUUAGGUUGCUGCAAAUGGGGGCUUUGGAUGUAAGGCGGUGGUUGGCAGACACCAAAAGGUUGAUUACCCUCCUUAUGGAAGGGACUUUGUGAACCAUCAGCCUACUGGAAGGUUUUGCAAUGGCAAACUGGCCACUGACAUCAGUUGUGACGAAUUCUAGGACGGAGGUGAGAGGAUUUGGAAGAAUCAGAUGUGCCUAUUCAUUUGCAAGGUCCAAACGUCUCUUGAAGAAGAUGUAUAUACCUGAUGAAUUGCUUAAACAUGAUUUGGAUGGAAAACCUUCUGUUGAUAUACCAAGGUGCCCAGUUUUAGUGUUGAUAUACCAAGGUGCCUAGUUUUAGUGUUUGUUGAUAUAAAAAUGAAAAGCUUGGAGGACGACUUUACAACGAAUUUUGCUACUGUCUGAAUAAAAAACAGAUUGUUGGUGGGGAUGAUGUGGUUAACUGGAUUCUUGGAGUUAUUUGUGAUCUGAAAUUACCAGAGUCGCCCUCCAUUGUGUCGAUAUCACAUGGGACUGAAAAUAACAUUCCACAUUUGUUUGGAUGGGUAGGACAUCUUUUAGUUUAUGAAAGCAUGUUUGAAGGGAUCAAUUAUUUUUCCAUUGUGCCGAUAUCACGUGGGACUGAAAGUAACAUCCCACUUUUGUUUGGAUGGGUAGGACAUCUUUUAGACAUAGUUUGGGAGUGAGGUGCUUAAAAAAAAACACCCAUGAAAAAAAGAUGCGAGGGUUUUAGGUGUUUGGUAAACUGAAAAAAAAAGGCUUAUUUUGGAAGCUGCUGUGAGAAUAAGCUGAAAUUAAAGGAAAAAGUUGAAGCUGCUAUUUGCAGCUUUGGAAAACUGGCUUUUGUUCAAAGCACACGGAGUUACAGUGCUUCUUUAAUGAAAAGAUCCACUAUUAGACUGCUUUUUUUUUCAAAAGCACUUUUACAAAAAAGUUUAUCAAACACUGUGCUGAUUUAUUUCACAGCCGUUUAUUCUCACCGCACAGCCGCUUAUUCUCACAGCAGUUUUUUUUCAAAGCACAUCAAUACCAAACCAGCCCUUAGUUUAUGAAAGCAUCUUUGAAGGGAUCAAUUAUUUUUCCAUUGUGCCGAUAUCACAUGGUACUGAAAAUAACAUCCCACUUUCGUUUGGAUGGGUAGGACAUCUUUUAGUUUAUGAAAGCAUCUUUGAAGGGAUCAAUUAUUUUUCCAUUGUCCCGAUAUCACGUGGGACUGAAAAUAACAUCCCACUUUCGUUUGGAUGGGUAGGACAUCUUUUAAUUUAUGAAAGCAUCUUUGAAGGGAUCAAUUAUUUUUCUUCUUUUGUUGUUGAUUGAAGUGGGUUACAGGAAUACAUUCGUUUGCCACAAAGUAAUUUAAUAAAUUUAUAUAUACAAAGGAUCACAUCAAAAUGGUAAAUUCGUUUGCCACAAACAUUUUAUUUACGAGACUUCCACUGGCCUGCCUCUUGCUCACUUGUGUUGUCUCUAUUAUUUCUGCAGUUUGUGGGUUUUGCAGGGAAAAAGACAAAGUUAAUGGAAUGGUACAUGGGCACCACCACAGAAAUAAUAGUAAUAAAUAAAUAAAAAAGGAGAAAUGGGGACAAAUGUUUCUGGAGCCAUGUGGAAGAAAGUCUUCAUGUAAACAGUAAAGACUUCAAAAAUCUGGCUUAUUAAAGUC